UUCCAGACUCCUACGGGAGGCAGCAGUGGGGAAUAUUGCACAAUGGGGGAAACCCUGAUGCAGCGACGCCGCGUGAGCGAUGAAGUAUUUCGGUAUGUAAAGCUCUAUCAGCAGGGAAGAAAAUGACGGUACCUGACUAAGAAGCCCCGGCUAACUACGUGCCAGCAGCCGCGGUAAUACGUAGGGGGCAAGCGUUAUCCGGAUUUACUGGGUGUAAAGGGAGCGUAGACGGCUGUGCAAGCCAGAUGUGAAAGCCCGGGGCUCAACCCCGGGACUGCAUUUGGAACUGUGUGGCUGGAGUGUCGGAGAGGCAGGCGGAAUUCCUAGUGUAGCGGUGAAAUGCGUAGAUAUUAGGAGGAACACCAGUGGCGAAGGCGGCCUGCUGGACGAUGACUGACGUUGAGGCUCGAAAGCGUGGGGAGCAAACAGGAUUAGAUACCCCCGUAA
rnacentral:rRNA from 1 species